rnacentral:rRNA from 1 species
GCGUAUGCAACUUACCUUUUACUAGAGAAUAGCCAAGAGAAAUUUUGAUUAAUGCUCUAUACUCUUUUUAACUCACAUGAGUUUUUAAGAAAAGCUCCGGCGGUAAAAGAUGGGCAUGCGUCCUAUUAGCUUGUAGGUGAGGUAACGGCUCACCUAAGCUCCGAUAGGUAGGGGUCCUGAGAGGGAGAUCCCCCACACUGGUACUGAGACACGGACCAGACUUCUACGGAAGGCAGCAGUAAGGAAUAUUGGACAAUGGAGGAAACUCUGAUCCAGCGAUGCCGCGUGAAGGAAGACGGC